AAAAUUAAUUCUGCAAGUAUUCAAUGGCAAUUCAUUUCCAUGUCUCUUGACACUUAUUAAAUUUUGUCUAUUUUUAAUAAUUUCAAAAGGAGUAAGUUCUAUAAUUGGGAUUCAAUACAAUGAGACUUUUCAUAUGGAAUGGUCUGUAUGGUAAACAAUCAAAUUUUGCCCAUAUUUGGUCUUCUUAACUAGGAGAUCACCAACUAAAUUGAAAUUGUCUUGCCCAAAAUAUUUCAAAAUAAAUCAUUAUUAAAAAUCAUCUAGAUCUUAAGAACAAAACUUAUUUGACAUAUAUAACAAUUAGAAUGAAUUAUACACAAUAUCAUAUUAAACUUAUUAAAUUCUACAAGCUCAUAACAAUCACCAAUUUUAUAUAAAUACUCCUUUUCCAAAGGUAUUUUCACAAACCAUGUUAACUCGUUGACAUUACACAUAUAUAUUUAUAAUGUUGAAAUUUCUGAAGGUUGUUUGCUUGUUUCAUUCCAUGGAA
rnacentral:lncRNA from 1 species